rnacentral:rRNA from 1 species
UACGAAGGGGGCUAGCGUUGUUCGGAAUUACUGGGCGUAAAGGGCGCGUAGGCGGCCAUUCAAGUUAGGUGUGAAAGCCCUGGGCUCAACCUAGGAAUUGCACUUGAUACUGUUUGGCUUGAGUUAGGGAGAGGUGAGUGGAAUUCCCAGUGUAGAGGUGAAAUUCGUAGAUAUUCGCAAGAACACCAGUGGCGAAGGCGGCUCACUGGCCCGGUACUGACGCUGAGGUGCGAAGGCGUGGGGAGCAAACAGG